rnacentral:tRNA from 1 species
UGGCAUAGUGGUUAAGUGCUAUGGCUGCCAACCAAAAGGGUGGCAGUUCGAAUCUGCC